AUUUUGCGCACCAGAAUCGGUACACAAAGUAAUAAGAAUUACACUAUUAACAUUUUUUCAACUUAGGAGGGGAUUGAAAAUCCCCGUGUCCUUGGUUCGAUUCCGAGUCCGGGCACCA
rnacentral:tRNA from 1 species